AAAGGAAUUGACGGGGGCCCGCACAAGCAGUGGAGUAUGUGGUUUAAUUCGAAGCAACGCGAAGAACCUUACCAGGUCUUGACAUCCUAGGACCGCCUAAGAGAUUAGGUUUUCCCUUCGGGGACUUAGUGACAGGUGGUGCAUGGUUGUCGUCAGCUCGUGUCGUGAGAUGUUGGGUUAAGUCCCGCAACGAGCGCAACCCUUAUUUUUAGUUGCUACAUUCAGUUGAGCACUCUAGAGAGACUGCCGUUGACAAAACGGAGGAAGGUGGGGAUGACGUCAAAUCAUCAUGCCCCUUAUGACCUGGGCUACACACGUACUACAAUGGCUAUUAACAAAGGGAAGCAAAGCCGCGAGGUGGAGCAAAUCCCCAAAAAUAGUCUCAGUUCGGAUUGUAGGCUGAAACUCGCCUAUAUGAAGUCGGAAUUGCUAGUAAUCGUAGAUCAGCAUGCUACGGUGAAUACGUUCCCGGGCCUUGUACACACCGCCCGU
rnacentral:rRNA from 1 species